rnacentral:rRNA from 1 species
UGGGGAAUAUUGGACAAUGGGGGCAACCCUGAUCCAGCGAUGCCGCGUGUGCGAAGAAGGCCUGCGGGUUGUAAAGCACUUUGGUUGGGGAAGAAGGUUGGGCGUUGAAUAGAUGCCUGAAUUGACGUUACCCAAAGAACAAGCACCGGCUAACUCUGUGCCAGCAGCCGCGGUAAUACAGAGGGUGCGAGCGUUAAUCGGAAUUACUGGGCGUAAAGGGCGCGUAGGCGGCUCUUCAAGUCAGCCGUGAAAUCUCCGGGCUUAACCUGGAAGGGUCGGUUGAUACUGUCGAGCUAGAGUGUAGAAGAGGCAACUGGAAUUCCGUGUGUAGCGGUGAAAUGCGUAGAUAUACGGAGGAACACCUGCGGCGAAGGCGGGUUGCUGGGCUAACACUGACGCUGAGGCGCGAAAGCUAGGGUAGCAAACGGGGAUUAGAUACCCCCGUAGUCCCUGAGCGGGCUGGCAAGGCGCAU